rnacentral:rRNA from 1 species
GACAGAGGUGCCAAGCGUUAGGCGGAAUCACUGGGCUUAAAGCGUGUGUAGGCGGAUGUCUAAGUACCUUGUGAAAUCCCACGGCUCAACCGUGGAACUGCUUGGUAUACUGGAUGUCUUGAGCCAUCUAGGGGCUACCGGAACAAAUGGUGGAGCGGUGAAAUGCGUAGAUAUCGUCUGGAACGCCAAAGGUGAAAACAGACUGCUGGGGCUGUGCUGACGCUGAGACACGAAAGCCAGGGGAGCGAACGGG